AGUGAACGCUGGCGGUAGGCCUAACACAUGCAAGUCGAACGGCAGCACAGUAAGAGCUUGCUCUUACGGGUGACGAGUGGAGGAAGGGGGAGGAAUACAUCGGAAUCUACUUUUUCGUGGGGGAGAACGUAGGGAAAAUUACGCUAAUACCGCACACGACCUACGGGGGAAAGCAGGAGAUCUUCGGGCCUUGCGCGAUUGAAUGAGCCGAGGUCGGAUUAGCUGGUUGGCGGGGUAAAGGCCCACCAAGGCGACGAUCGGUAGCCGGUGUGAGAGGGUGAUGAGCGACACUGGGAGUGAGACACGGCCCUGACUCCUACGGGAGGCAGCAGUGGGGAAUAUUGGCAAAUGGGCGGAAGCCUGAUCCAGCCAUGCCGGGUGGGUGAAGAAGGCCUUCGGGUUGUAAAGCCGUUUUGUUGGGAAAGAAAGGCUGCAGGAUAAACCCCCGCUGUUCUGACGGUACCUAAAGAAUAAGCACCGGCUAACUUCGUG
rnacentral:rRNA from 1 species